rnacentral:rRNA from 1 species
AACGAACGCUGGCGGCAGGCCUAACACAUGCAAGUCGAGCGAAGCCUUCGGGCUUAGCGGCGGACGGGUGAGUAACGCGUGGGAACGUGCCCUUUGGUACGGAAUAGCCCCGGGAAACUGGGAGUAAUACCGUAUGUGGUCGAGAGACGAAAGAUUUAUCGCCAAAGGAUCGGCCCGCGUUGGAUUAGGUAGUUGGUGGGGUAAUGGCCUACCAAGCCGACGAUCCAUAGCUGGUUUGAGAGGAUGAUCAGCCACACUGGGACUGAGACACGGCCCAGACUCCUACGGGAGGCAGCAGUGGGGAAUCUUAGACAAUGGGGGAAACCCUGAUCUAGCCAUGCCGCGUGAGUGAUGAAGGCCUUAGGGUUGUAAAGCUCUUUCACCGGGGAAGACGAUGACGGUACCCGGAGAAGAAGCCCCGGCUAACUUCGUGCCAGCAGCCGCCGUAACAC